AUAGAAGGUUACAGUAAAGUGUAGUACUUGUUUUUAUCAGUUUAAUAUCUGAUAUGUGGGUCAUCGACCCCACUUGAUAUUAAUUUUAUUUUUUUAAGGGGGAACAUCCAUUAUCUUAGUUUGGUGAUGUGAUUCUUCAUGCAUCGUCUUGAGCUUCCACUACUAUUGCUAUAUCUUAUGUACCGUUC